rnacentral:misc_RNA from 1 species
AUCGUCCAGCGAACCCUGCAAGGAUUUUUCCGCCGUCGCGGCGAUCACGCCUUCAAGCGCGGCGAGCACAUGCUGACUAUCGGUCUGUCCGAGCGGGAUGAGACGCACACCCGCCGAAAUCCAGUUCGACGUCGUGGCAUGGAGAAACGCAUGCAGCGUCGAUGCCAGCGAAAUGCGGUGUCCCGCCGCGAGGACGCCCACGGCG